rnacentral:rRNA from 1 species
UACGUAGGGAGCGAGCGUUGUCCGGAUUCAUUGGGCGUAAAGCGCUUUAAGGCGGUUCGCUAAGUCACGUGUGAAAACUCCAGGCUCAACCUGGAGACGCCACGUGAUACUGGCGUGACUAGAGUUCGGUAGGGGAUCACGGAAUUCCUGGUGUAGCGGUGAAAUGCGCAGAUAUCAGGAGGAACACCUGUGGCGAAGGCGGUGAUCUGGGCCGACACUGACGCUGUAGAGCGAAAGCGUGGGGAGCGAACAGG